rnacentral:rRNA from 1 species
GAUGAACGCUGGCGGCGUGCCUAAUACAUGCAAGUCGAGCGAACAGACGAGGAUCUUGCUCCUCUGACGUUAGCGGCGGACGGGUGAGUAACACGUGGAUAACCUACCUAUAAGACUGGGAUAACUUCGGGAAACCGGCGCUAAUACCGGAUAAUAUCUUGAACCGCAGGGUUCAAUAGUGAAAGACGGUUUUGCUGUCACUUAUAGAUGGAUCCGCGCGGCAUUAGCUAGUUGGUAAGGUAACGGCUUACCAAGGCAACGAUGCGUAGCCGACCUGAGAGGGUGAUCGGCCACACUGGAACUGAGACACGGUCCAGACUCCUACGGGAGGCAGCAGUAGGGAAUCUGCCGCAAUGGGCGAAAGCCUGACGGAGCAACGCCGCGUGAGUGAUGAAGGUCUUCGGAUCGUAAAACUCUGUUAUUAGGGAAGAACAAAUGUGUAAGUAACUAUACACGGCUUGACGGUACCUAAUCAGAAAGCCACGGCUAACUACGUG